UAUAAACCAACAUUUUUAGGAUAUGGGCUUGAUAGCUUAUUUAGCUGACCUUACUAGUAGGACAUGGUGUAUAGGGUAGCACGAAGAAUUUUGGGUUCUUAUGUUAGGUCAUAUAUGGUUCUAGAACUAGGAAGGCUCAAACUUCUGUUAUUUACUCUAUCAAAGUAACUCUUUUAUCAGACAUAUUUCUUUAAGUUUGAGGGGGAACACAUGGU
rnacentral:lncRNA from 1 species